rnacentral:rRNA from 1 species
UACCGGCUGAAAUGCGUAGAGAUCUGGAGGAAUACCCGUGGCGAAUGCGGCCCUCUGGACCACAACUGACCCUCACGUGCGAAAGCGUGGGGAGCAAACAGGAUUACAUACCCUGCGUAGUCCACGCCGUAAACGAUGUCUACUUGCAGGUUGUGCCCUUGAUGCCUCCCUUCCUGAACUAACGCGUUUGCUCGACCCCCAGGGGAGUACCGCGGCGAGGCUGGGACUCUUAUGAAUUGACGGGGGCCCGCACAAGCGGUGGAGCUUGUGCGCUUUAAUUCCAUGCAACGCGUAGAACCCUCCGUAUUAGGGGCCCUUGCGGGA